rnacentral:rRNA from 1 species
CUACGGGGGGCAGCAGUCGAGAAUCUUCCGCAAUGGACGAAAGUCUGACGGAGCGACGCCGCGUGCGGGAUGAAGGCCUUCGGGUUGUAAACCGCUGUCAGUGGGGAGGAAAUGCAUCAGGGUUCUCCCUGGUGUUUGACCGAUCCGCAGAGGAAGCGCAGGCUAAGUUCGUGCCAGCAGCCGCGGUAACACGAACUGCGCGAACGUUAUUCGGAAUCACUGGGCUUAAAGAGUUCGUAGGCGGCCUUUCAAGUCGGGUGUGAAAUCCCUCGGCUCAACCGGGGAAUUGCGCCUGAUACUGUUGGGCUUGAGGGGGAUAGGGGUGAGCGGAACUGAUGGUGGAGCGGUGAAAUGCGUUGAUAUCAUCAGGAACACCGGUGGCGAAGGCGGCUCACUGGAUCUCUUCUAACGCUGAGGAACGAAAGCUAGGGGAGCGAACGGGAUUAGAUACCCCGGUAGUC